rnacentral:rRNA from 1 species
AGGACGAACGCUGGCGGCGUGCUUAACACAUGCAAGUCGAGCGGAAAGGCCCUUCGGGGUACUCGAGCGGCGAACGGGUGAGUAACACGUGAGCAAUCUGCCCUUAGCUUCGGGAUAGCUCCGGGAAACCGGAAUUAAUACCGAAUACGACCACGGCCGACAUCAGCUGUGGUGGAAAGUUUUUCGGCUAGGGAUGAGCUCGCGGCCUAUCAGCUUGUUGGUGGGGUGAUGGCCUACCAAGGCGACGACGGGUA